rnacentral:rRNA from 1 species
AGUGAACGCUGGCGGUAGGCCUAACACAUGCAAGUCGAACGGCAGCACAGUAAAAGUUUGCUCUUACGGGAGGCGAGUGGCAGACGGGUGAAGAAUCCAUCGGACUCUACUUUUUCGUGGGGGAUAACGUAGGGACACUUACGCAAAUACCGCAACCGCCCUAGGGCUGAAAGCAGGGGCUUUUGGGACCUUGCCCUCUUGUAUGAGCCGAUGUCGGUUUAGCUAGUUGGCGGGGUAAAGGCCCACCAAGGCGACGAUCCGUAGCUGGUCUGAGAGGAUGAUCAGCCACACUGGAACUGAGACACGGUCCAGACUCCUACGGGAGGCAGCAGUGGGGAAUAUUGGACAAUGGGCGCAAGCCUGAUCCAGCCAUGCCGCGUGGAUGAAGAAGGCCUUCGGGUUGUAAAGCACUUUUGUUGGGAAAGAAAAGAAGCAAGUUAAUACCCCGCUGUUCUGACGUUACCCAAAGAAUAAGCACCGGCUAACUUCGUG